rnacentral:rRNA from 1 species
GAUGAACGCUGGCGGCGUGCCUAAUACAUGCAAGUCGAGCGAACGGACGAGAAGCUUGCUUCUCUGACGUUAGCGGAGGACGGGAGAGAAACACGUGGAACACCUACCUAUAUGACUGGGAUCACUUCGGGAAACCGGCGAUUAUACCGGAUAAUAUUUUGAACCGUAUGGUUCAAAAGUGAAAGACGGUCUUGCGGUCACUUAUAGAUGCAUCCGCGCUGCAUUAGCUAGUUGGGAAGGUCAAGGCUUAUCACGGCAAGGAUGCGUAGCCGACCUGUGAGAGUGAUCGGCGACACGGGAGCGUGAACACGGUCCAGACUCCUACGGUACGCAGCAGUAGGGAAUCGGACGCAAUGGUCGGAAGCCUUACGGAGCGACGCCGCGUGAGUGGUGGAGGUCUUCGGUUCGUAAUACUCUGUUAUUAGUUGAGAACAGAUGUGUAAGGAGCUGUGCAGAUCUUGACGGUACCUAGUCAGAAAGCCCCGGCUAACUACGUG